rnacentral:rRNA from 1 species
CAACUCGCCUACAUGAAGUUGGAAUCGCUAGUAAUCGCGAAUCAGAAUGUCGCGGUGAAUACGUUCCCGGGUUCUUGUACACACCGCCCGUCACACCACGAGAGUUUACAACACCCGAAGUCAGUGGCCUAACCGCAAGGAAGGAGCUGCCUAAGGUGGGGUAGAUGAUUGGGGUGAAGUCGUAACAAGGUACC